GAGGGUACAGCUCAGUGGUAGAGUACGUGGUUAGCACACACAAGGUCCCAAGUUCAAUCCCUAGUACCCUCA
rnacentral:tRNA from 1 species